rnacentral:rRNA from 1 species
CCUACGGGUGGCAGCAGUGGGGAAUAUUGCACAAUGGGCGAAAGCCUGAUGCAGCAACGCCGCGUGAAGGAAGACGGUUUUCGGAUUGUAAACUUCUGUUCUCAGUGAAGAAUAAUGACGGUAAUGAAGGAGCAAGCCACGGCUAACUACGUGCCAGCAGCCGCGGUAAUACGUAGGUGGCAAGCGUUGUCCGGAAUUACUGGGUGUAAAGGGAGGGUAGGCGGGAGGCCAAGUCAGCUGUGAAAACUACGGGCUUAACCUGUAGACUGCAGUUGAAAAUGGCUUUCUUGAGUGAAGUAGAGGUAAGCGGAAUUCCGGGUGUAGCGGUGAAAUGCGUAGAUAUUCGGAGGAACACCGGUGGCGAAGGCGGCCAACUGGACUUUAACUGACGCUGAGGCUCGAAGGUGUGGGGAGCAAACAGGAUUAGAUACCCUAGUAGUC